rnacentral:rRNA from 1 species
UCCUACGGGGCGCAGCAGUGAGGAAUAUUGGUCAAUGGGCGGAAGCCUGAACCAGCCAAGUCGCGUGAGGGAAUAAGGCCCUACGGGUCGUAAACCUCUUUUGCCGGGGAGCAAGGGCGGGGACGUGUCCCGGCCCGGAGAGUACCCGGAGAAAAAGCAUCGGCUAACUCCGUGUCAGCAGCCGCGGUAAUACGGAGGAUGCGGGCGUUAUCCGGAUUUAUUGGGUUUAAAGGGGGCGUAGGUGGAUUGUUAAGUCAGUUGUGAAAGUUUGCGGCUCAACCGUAAAAUUGCAGUUGAAACUGGCA